AUGGAGGGCGGAAGCGGUGGCAGAUCUCGGCGGCGAGCGGCCGGAAGUUCUGGGUGGCUUGCAGCGCAGAGGCGAGCGGACGGUAGCGUCGCGCAGCCUCUGGGCUGUGUGCGGUGUGGUGAGGGCGAGCCCUUGUGUCCGUGCGGCGGGCGACCUCGUGCCCUCGUCGGCUGGCGGCAUCCAGCAACGGUAUGCUCGCCCCCUCCUCCAUGUAGUCCAGCCAUGAGCAACGACUCCCCGUCUCCACCUGCUCCACAAGGCCACAAGUCUACGACUAUCCUCCUAACCUUGUUCAGUCAUCAAACGUAG
rnacentral:rRNA from 1 species